rnacentral:lncRNA from 1 species
AGAACACGAAACAAACACUCGAACCUUGCAAUUUGCAAAGGUCCAGUGCGUCACAGUUCAAGAGUCGAGUAAACUCACGGAUAUAUUCCUGAACUUGUCGCUCUCCUUGCUGAAGUUUCAUCAAAUCCUCCUCGAGCUUCUGCUUUACACUGUUGGAAAAAUAUAUCCGAUACAGCAUGCCGCAGAACUCAUCCCAUCUCAUCUGCAAAAUCACCAACCUGUAAUCUCAUCUCACUCUCUUCCACAUGCCAGUGCAUCUCCUGUCAAGCAGUGAACUCUAAGGUGUACCUGCUCCCUCUCAGGAAUAAACAAAUCCUCGAACAAUUUCUCCAUCGCACUGACCCAGUCCAAUAGUUAUAAUAGUAUAAAUUAUACUUAACGGAGCCGAUCAUCGAAUCUAAUACGCUAUUAUCAAAAAUAACUUACAAAUACGGAGAUCUUCAUACUUCAAAAGUACUGCUUGAUGUACUCAUAUUAACCAGUAUGUUUUUACGUGUCCAAUUAAUAUCACUCUGGAGAGAUACACUAUAACAAAACCGGUGUAUAACGACACUUUUAAAUAUCGGUAUAGAUAAAAAGAAAUGCUGCUGGCUAAAUUACCGAUACUUUUUAAAAGUGUUGCUAUAUGUAGGGUCGUUAUAUGUGGGGCUACCUUGAUGUUUGGCACUCACUCUUCCAGUAACCUGUGGACACGUGGCGAUCGUAACCCUUUACGGCUCCUGCGAGAUUCUCGCAGUCAAACUCUAGCCGUCGGAACCCUAUCUCGUCGGUUACGACGGCAGAGGAGGAGAAGAGAAGAUGGUGAUUAAUUUUUUUUUCUUUCUUUUUUUUUUUUACUUGUAAUCGAGUUGAGUGGGUUGGGUGGGGUUAGUUGAGUAGAGUAACUUUUUAUUUUUACUUAGAUUGAACUUUAUAUUUAGGUCUAAAUAGAUUUUUUUUAAAAAAAAUUUGAUAUAAAUGAAGUACUUAUAUAAAGUGUUUUAAAAAUAUAUUUAUAAAAUUUAAUU